ACUUGACAGAUUGAGAGCUCUUUCUUGAUUCUAUGGGUGCGUGUUUGCAUGGCCGUUCUUAGUUGGUGGAGUGAUUUGUCUGGUUAAUUCCGUUAACGAACGAGACCUCCGCGUGCUAAAUAGUUCCGCUUACCAUUUUUGGUAGGUUUGUGGACUUCUUAGAGGGACUUUUGGGUAAUCAAACCAAAGGAAGUUGGAGGCAAUAACAGGUCUGUGAUGCCCUUAGAU
rnacentral:ncRNA from 1 species